UACGUAGGGUGCAAGCGUUGUCCGGAAUUAUUGGGCGUAAAGAGCUCGUAGGCGGCUAGUCGCGUCGGCUGUGAAAACCUGGGGCUCAACCCCGGGCCUGCAGACGAUACGGGCUAGCUAGAAUUCGGUAGGGGAGACUGGAAUUCCUGGUGUAGCGGUGAAAUGCGCAGAUAUCAGGAGGAACACCGGUGGCGAAGGCGGGUCUCUGGGCCGAUAUUGACGCUGAGGAGCGAAAGCGUGGGGAGCGAACAGG
rnacentral:rRNA from 1 species